rnacentral:lncRNA from 1 species
UGCAGGCGGCUGGAGCGGCUGCGGCGGCGCAGGCGACGGCGGCGGUCGGCGGGGAUGAUCGCCGGAGCACGGGGCGACACCAAGGGAGGGUCCGAAGGUGGCGGCAGUCUCGGGUCUCCUCACAACCCGAGAGGAGAGAGGGAGAGAGAAAGAGAGGGAGAGAGGGAGAGGUAGAGGCUGCCGCGGUGGUUGGCCGGCCGGGGCUCGGUCGGCGGCGGCCUGGGCGCGCGCAGCAGGUGCAGGGGAAGGAGAGGGAGGCGGCUGGGUGGUUGGCUAGGGCUAGGAUUAGGGUUAGGUGGCACCAAACCCUAGAAAGCUAUAAAUACUAAGGUGUAACUUUGCAAAUAAGUCCACCAAACCUCAGUAUUUAUAACUGAGUCCAUCACAGCGUGUGUAAAACACGCGAACACCCCUCUACGUGCGAUCCCACGCGAAACGGUACAUAAAAUAUCGCGACUUUCGCGAAAAUACCAAUUUGCCACUACCGUCCUCUCCUCGAUCAACGCGCGAUCUCCGCAGAUCCGUCCGUCAGAUUUGCGAACGGAUUGCACCGGUGCGAUCAGCACCUCGGAGACAACAAAGCUGCGAUUUCGUUUCGUCUUGAUCGACCACGGAUUCACGACAAAAUCCAACCUUCUUCGAAUAGAAGGAAACACACACAUAAAUACAUAUAA